UUGAGUUCAUCUUCAAGGGGGAAGAAAUACAUCUGUGUGCUCGGAACAGGGUGGGGUGAUUCCUAUAUAUGCCUCCUAUAUAAUUCUCAUCCCCUGUGGGAACGGGGCAGAGUGAUUCCUAUAUAUGCCUCCUAUAUAAUUCUCAUCCCCUGUGAACAAGGCCACGAAGCAAGCCCGACUUUACGACUGUUCUGCAACAGAGAACUUGAUCGCUUGCUGUCUCUGAGUCUAAAGGCACAGUAGGAUUUCCAGUUACUGCUGGAUGCGUUCGGUGGAUGGCCUGUGCGGAGCUGCUGGUCCUCCCAUUGUCUGCCUCCUAGCUCCUCCAUCCUGCUGCAGUAGAACCUCUGUGACCCUCGAGGCAUUGGUGACAAGAAGGCAGUACUGUGAGGUCGGGUCCUGCAGAAGCGAGCUUGGAGUCCAACGAGACAUUUACCGGCGCUGAUGAAUGGAAGGGAUGAAAGAGAGAACAGCAAAGCCGGCAGACUCGUGUGUCACCACCAGCCCUUCCUCUGCCCUCCACGGGCCAACUACCCCCUCUGCCUCCAGUCAAAUUGGCACUCACCUGUGUCUUCUGGGAAAAUAAAUUCUUGUGAGUGGCUUA